rnacentral:rRNA from 1 species
GAUGAACGCUGGCGGCGUGCCUAACACAUGCAAGUCGAGCGAACAGACGAGGAGUUUGCUCCUCUGACGUUAGCGGCGGACGGGUGAGUAACAUGUGGAUAACCUACCUAUAAGACUGGGAUAACUUCGGGAAACCGGAGCUAAUACCGGAUAAUAUAUUGAACCGCAUGGUUCAAUAGUGAAAGACGGUUUUGCUGUCACUUAUAGAUGGAUCCGCGCCGCAUUAGCUAGUUGGUAAGGUAACGGCUUACCAAGGCGACGAUGCGUAGCCGACCUGAAAGGGUGGUCGGCCACCCUGGAACUGAGACACGGUCCAGACUCCUACGGGGGGCAGCAGUAGGGAAUCUUCCGCAAUGGGCGAAAGCCUGACGGAGCAACGCCGCGUGAGUGAUGAAGGUCUUCGGAUCGUAAAACUCUGUUAUUAGGGAGAAACAAAUGUGUAAGUAACUGUGCCCGUCUUGACGGUACCUGAUCAAAAAGCCCCGGCUAACUACGUG